CAAAGGGUACGUCACUUCCCUGCUCAAACCCCAAAAGGUUCCUAUCAAAUCUAGAAUAAUCUAGAAUAAGAUCAAGUCACUUAGUCAAGUCUUCUAGGUCUCUCCAUUAAGUAGCCCCUGGCUAACCUCUUUACCUAUCUCCUAUCAUUCAUCCCCACCUUGUUUCCUCUAUUUUAGCCCUUUCUCAUUUCUUAAACACAAACAUACUACUGCCUGAGGGCCUGUGCUGUUGCCCCAGACACUGCCUGGCGGCAUUCCUGUCUCCACUACAGUACCACUGCCUCAAAGGACCUCCCUAACCACUGACCACGCCCCGCUUCACUUACCUGUGCUUCACAGCACCUGCUGUGGAGAUGCUAUGACAUUAUAUCCAUUUAUUUAAUAUCUUACUCAAAAGUGAGCACCAAUGAUUUUUUCUAAGUAAUCUCUACACCGAAGGUGGGGCUCGAACUGAAGACUCCGAGAUCAAGAGUGGCACGCUCUAGCAGCUGAGCCGGCCGGGUGCCCCUGAAAGCAAUGAUUUUUGACUGUUUUUUUCACUGCUGUACCCCCUGGGCUUAGAACAGUACCUGGUAUAACGAAAUAAGAGAAAUAGUCAUAGCAAAUCUGUAUUAGGUACUUGCUACAUGACGCACAGGACACUAGCUAGGCACUUCUCGUAUAUUACCUGCUACAAUCUUUCAACGACCUGUGCUGUAUUACCAUCAUCUUACAGUCAAGAAAACCAAAGACCUUAAGUAUUUUCCUGAAGAUUACACAGUAUCUUCCCCUACCGAGAACGUCCCCUCUAAGCCUUACAGAGUAACUCAUAUUUAUCCUUUAAGACCUGGCUCUUCCCCCUUGCAGGAAGCUAUCCUUUUCUUUCUCUCCACAGAGUUAAUAAAUUUCUCCCUUCUCUACCUGGGAGAAAUGUACUAC